GUUUUACCAUGCUUAUGACAACUAUAUGACUUAUGCUUUUCCAUGUUCAGCUUUAAAUGGAUAAUUUAAAAUACCUACUGUUUCAAAUUUUAGCUCGAACAUUUGCCACAAGAGUAUCAUGGAUCUGCCCUCACACUUGUAGAAUCGCUAUCCAGCCUUGUUAUCAUGGGGAACAACAUAGAAUUUGAAAGGGCUAUUCUUUGGCUUUCUGCAAAAUCUAACUUUUGAUGUUGAUGCGAGGAUAAAUCUUUUUGAGGUAUUUUAAUUUUUUUCAUUUAGGAUUUAGUGAAG